rnacentral:lncRNA from 1 species
CCUCACUUCUUGCUGUUGAUAGAUCUGUGCUGUUUUGCUUUAUUAACUCACAAAUUCACUGUUGAGCAUUUUCAGUUGAAUUUAUUUUGUGAAAUAAUUCAAGUAGCGUGUUGACUAGAUGUACUGGUUUGGUUGUGAGGUGGGGAUGUGGUUGACCUCUGUCUUAUUUGGCUGUGAACAAUCUCCAUGGGAGCAUUCAUGCUCUUUGUAAGCACUUGGGCGUGCUGAUACCAACUCACAGUUAAGUUUUGUUGUUGCUCCUUUUUUUUUUUUUUUCAUUUCAAUUUUAGACCAUGAGAAUUUGCACCAAGGCUCCCCUGGUUUGAGUGGAGCUGCCUGGAUCAAACGCUGCCUGCUCUGCCCUGGCUGUUUUCUGUGGUUUGGUGUUCCUGGGAUAAUUGGUUUCUCUGUGACACACUGGGACUGGGCUCCGGUUCGGUGCCUUUUCCACCAGGCAAAGGUCUUUUUUAAGAGAUUAAAUUUCUAUAUGCGCUGG